rnacentral:rRNA from 1 species
GACGAACGCUGGCGGCGUGCUUAACACAUGCAAGUCGAGCGGUAAGGCUCCUUCGGGAGUACACGAGCGGCGAACGGGUGAGUAACACGUGAGUAAUCUGCCCUUCACUUUGGGAUAAGCCUCGGAAACGAGGUCUAAUACCGAAUACGACCACUUCGGGCAUCCGAUGGUGGUGGAAAGUUUUUUCGGUGGAGGAUGUGCUCGCGGCCUAUCAGCUUGUUGGUGGGUUAAUGGCCUACCAAGGCUUCGACGGGUAGCCGGCCUGAGAGGGUGACCGGCCACACUGGGACUGAGACACGGCCCAGACUCCUACGGGAGGCAGCAGUGGGGAAUAUUGGACAAUGGGCGGAAGCCUGAUCCAGCAACGCCGCGUGAGGGAUGACGGCCUUCGGGUUGUAAACCUCUUUCAGUAGGAACGAAGCGCAAGUGACGGUACCUACAGAAGAAGCACCGGCCAACUACGUGCCAGCCGCCGCCGUAACAC